AUCUCUUCUCAGGCUUUUGGCCAAGAUCAAGUAUAGUAUCUGUUCCUAUCAGUUUAAUAUCUGAUACAUUCUCUAUCCGAAGACAAUAUAUUAAAUGAAUUUUUGGAGCAGGAAGUUGGAAUAGGAGCUUGCUCCGUCCACUCCACACAUCAACCUGGUAUUGCAGUACUUCCAGGAACAGUGCAUCCCCC
ensembl:snRNA U2 U2 spliceosomal RNA